rnacentral:rRNA from 1 species
UGGGGAAUAUUGGGCAAUGGGGGGAACCCUGACCCAGCAACGCCGCGUGAGUGAAGAAGGUCUUCGGAUUGUAAAACUCUGUCUUCAGGGACGAAGGAAGUGACGGUACCUGGAGAGGAAGCCCCGGCUAACUACGUGCCAGCAGCCGCGGUAAUACGUAGGGGGCGAGCGUUGUCCGGAAUUACUGGGCGUAAAGGGCGCGUAGGCGGCCUUUUAAGUCAGAUGUGAAACCCCCGGGCUUAACCCGGGGAUGGCAUUUGAAACUGGGAGGCUUGAGUGCAGGAGAGGAAAGUGGAAUUCCUAGUGUAGCGGUGAAAUGCGUAGAGAUUAGGAGGAACACCAGUGGCGAAGGCGACUUUCUGGACUGUAACUGACGCUGAGGCGCGAAAGCGUGGGGAGCAAACAGG